CGGUUUGGAGCCGCGGGGGUCGCGCUCGUUCGACACAGUCGAAAUCAUAACGACUCUCGGCAACGGAUAUCUCGGCUCUCGCAUCGAUGAAGAACGUAGCGAAAUGCGAUACUUGGUGUGAAUUGCAGAAUCCCGUGAACCAUCGAGUCUUUGAACGCAAGUUGCGCCCGAAGCCGUCAGGCCGAGGGCACGCCUGCCUGGGCGUCACGCA
rnacentral:rRNA from 1 species